rnacentral:rRNA from 1 species
UGGGGAAUAUUGGACAAUGGGCGAAAGCCUGAUCCAGCCAUGCCGCGUGAGUGAUGAAGGCCUUAGGGUUGUAAAGCUCUUUCGCCGGGGAAGAUAAUGACGGUACCCGGAAAAGAAGCCUCGGCUAACUCCGUGCCAGCAGCCGCGGUAAGACGGAGGAGGCUAGCGUUAUUCGGAAUUACUGGGCGUAAAGCGUGCGCAGGUUGUGAGAUCAGUUGGAUGUGAAAGCCCGGGGCUUAACCUCGGAUGUGCAUCCAAUACUGUCUCGCUGGAGGUUGGAAGAGGAGAGUGGAAUUCCCAGUGUAGAGGUGAAAUUCGUAGAUAUUGGGAAGAACACCAGUGGCGAAGGCGGCUCUCUGGUCCAUACCUGACACUCAUGCACGAAAGCGUGGGGAGCAAACAGG